UAUUUUUCCCUUAAAAAAUAUGAUUUGCAGGCUUUUUCAGUACAUGGAGCUAAGACAAACCAAAAAGAACAUUACAACCUACCUGUUCAAAACUUAUUUAGAUUAGUUUGCCAUUUUAACUAUACUUUGUUUCUGUUAUCUUCUCAUAGCCCCUAGGCAUACAUUAUGCCUUCAGCUUACAUUAUGUUUGUUAACAGUGCUAUGUAAAUUAUUAUUACUAAUUAAUAAAAAGCUAUGGGGUAUAGAUCUAAAUCAAGAGCCAUAAAAUAUUUAAGUUUUAGGGAACAUAACUUGUUAGUAAGAGAACUUUAAAAAUAAAACUCUAAUCCUUUAAAGAAUUUCUUAAAAGUUGGAAACAAUUUAGAUGUAGUUAACUGUUUUGAAAGGACGCAAUUGGAUACAUAGACAAGAGCUCAAAUAAAGACAGUAGUAAUAGUUCUAAAUACAAAGUAGUUAAUGUUAUCAAGAGAAUAGAAUGUUAUGUAUAAUAACUAACUAAUUGACACUAUUAUCCUACCUUAUAAUAUACAGUUCAGUGAACUAAUUCUGAUUACAUUCUCUUAUAAUAAAAGGAAAGAAAAAGUCUUGAAUCUAUCAAUCUUGUCAUGUAAAACAAUUCUUACCAAAUUAGACCAAGUUACCUGUACACAUGAACACAAGACCCUUAAAUCUUAAUAGCAGCAGACUGAACCAGGUGGAUCAGAUCAGAAAAGAGGAUGAUUAGGUCUAUCCAAAAAGUCAAAUAAUUAAAAGGUUGGGUACUAUUUAAUGUGUGCUUUUCUCACAAACAAUUUGCUCCCCUCAGGUUAUGAAUCAAUGUACAAAAAAAUAUGAAUGGCUUGAAACAAAAAAAAAGUGAAUAAUUUAUAUUAACUGUUAAAAAGACUGGUAAAGUUCAAGACAAGUGCUAACCACCAAAAGAUGAUAUAAAAAAUUCCACCCAAGUGUAGAAAUCUUAACUCUUUCUCUCCGUAAUUAUUUGUCCAAGUUACGAAGGAAUUCUUCAUUUUGCUCAUUACUAUUUCACUCCCCUGUUAUGAUUAAGAUUCAAUAGCUUUGUUGUUUGUUAUCAGAAAACGUUGUAUUUGGUAUAGAAUUAAAGGGAAAUGUUUUAUAAACACAAAGUCAACUUAUAAAAUUAAACGUUAAUUCAUUUUAAUGAGGUCAAAAUCAACGAUGGUAUCGUCGAUCAGGAGAGAAAGAGUUAAAUAUCUAUAUAAUUUACUAAAUUGUACCAUGUUUUGUUAAUUCCCAAAUGAUCUUGACAGUCUGGCACAGAUGAAAAAUAGCUGAAAUUAUCCAAUAGCUCUGAGUAGGCUACCAUUUUAGUCAGUAUACUUCUGCAUAGGAAAUAGACAAUAGUCAAAAGAGAAAAGCUCAGGUGAUAUGGUCAUGGUGCAAAAUCCUCAAGACUUGCAAAGAUCUCUACAAGUUUAACUAACAAGCAAUAGACACAA